ACAAAUUAGAGUGCUUAAAGCAGGCAAGCCCGCCUGAAUACUGUGUGCAUGGAAUAAUGGAAUAGGACCUCGGUUCUAUUUUGUUGGUUUUCGGAACCCGAGGUAAUGAUUAAUAGGGACAGGCGGGGGCAUUCGUAUUGCGACGUUAGAGGUGAAAUUCUUGGAUCGUCGCAAGACGAACAGAAGCGAAAGCAUUUGCCAAGUAUGUUUUCAUUAAUCAAGAACGAAAGUUAGAGGUUCGAAGGCGAUCAGAUACCGCCCUAGUUCUAACCAUAAACGAUGCCAGCCAGCGAUCCGCCGCAGUUCCUCCGAUGACUCGGCGGGCAGCCUCCGGGAAACCAAAGCUUUUGGGUUCCGGGGGAAGUAUGGUUGCAAAGCUGAAACUUAAAGGAAUUGACGGAAGGGCACCACCAGGAGUGGAGCCUGCGGCUUAAUUUGACUCAACACGGGAAACCUCACCAGGCCCGGACACCGGAAGGAUUGACAGAUUGAUAGCUCUUUCUUGAUUCGGUGGGUGGUGGUGCAUGGCCGUUCUUAGUUGGUGGAGCGA
rnacentral:rRNA from 2 species